AGUGAACGCUGGCGGUAGGCCUAACACAUGCAAGUCGAACGGCAGCACAGGAGAGCUUGCUCUCUGGGUGGCGAGUGGCGGACGGGUGAGGAAUACAUCGGAAUCUACUUUUUCGUGGGGGAUAACGUAGGGAAACUUACGCUAAUACCGCAUACGACCUACGGGUGAAAGCAGGGGAUCUUCGGACCUUGCGCGAUUGAAUGAGCCGAUGUCGGAUUAGCUAGUUGGCGGGGUAAAGGACCACCAAGGCGACGAUCCGUAGCUGGUCUGAGAGGAUGAUAAGCAACACUGAAACUGAGACACGGUCCAGACCCCGACGGGAGGCAGCAGUGGGGAACAUUGGACAAUGGGCGCAAGCCUGAUCCAGCCAUACCGAGUGGGUGAAUAAGGCCUUCGGGUUGUAAAGCCCUUUUGUUGGGAAAGAAAUCCAGCUGGUUAAUACCCGGUUGGGAUGACGGUACCCAAAGAAUAAGCACCGGCUAACUUCGUGCCAGCCGCCGCCGUAA
rnacentral:rRNA from 1 species